UUUUGUCAAUCACAUGCAAAGAUCAAAGUAUAUGGAGUCAAAUUCAAUCUUCAUUCAUGAGGAGUCUACACUCACAAGGUACAAGUUGGUAAUUGAAUUAGUGUUUGAUAAUGAAAAUAGUGAGAAAGUCAUAAUAUUAAAUAAAAUUCAUAUUCAUGCAAAAACAAAAAAAACAAAAGAAAAAAAGUAUAGAAUACAAUCAAGAGUUUAUUUUUUAUCUAUAUGAUGAGCAAAUGCAGUCAUUGAUUUUAUAUAUCAUAGUACUACCCAUUGGUUCUCAUAUGAAGAACUUGAUCCUAAAAAUCCAGAUGUAAAGUGGUUCAUGUUAACCUAUAUUGAAAAUAUUUAUAGUUAUACAUAAUAUUUUGAAAGGAAAAUCAUAAGACUAAGUACUAAAUACUUAGAAACUUUACUCAAUAUAUGGAUAAAUGACAUAUGGCAUAGGCAAGUUAUGCUAUGACUCUUACUUGGUUUAUAAAGUAAUUUGGUGAAUGUAACCCGAGCCAUCCAUAAUAUAAGCUUAUUUCUAGACCAUUAUAGAAUGUAUCAAUCAUUUCUAAUAAUAUGAUUUAUUUUUUGAAUUACUCUCAUAAAUAAUAUUUUACAUGUCUUAAUAAAACUUAUAAAAAAAUUACAUUUUGAGAAAACUCAUUUAUCUCAUGUCUUGUUCAACUUCUAUGUUGUGAUUUAGUAAUGAAGACAUGUCCUUUAUAUUAACAUCAUAAAAUUCAAAAUAUUUUCAAUCAACUUAUCAAUUGAAAAUAAUUGUAAAGUGAAUAAUGAAUGAAUUCAAUGAGGAGUUUGACCAUACAUUUUCCUCAUUGGAAUCUUCAAUGUGGAUCUUUGCAUUGUGAGUGUUAUUGAACUCUGGACAUUUUUGAAUAGUGAGUCCUACUUUCUUACAUUUUCCACAGUGCCUUGGUUUCUAAAAUUUGUCUUUUAAGAUACCUUGAUUACCAUUGGUCUUCACAAUGUUAGGAUCUCUUAAACAUGGUAACUUGUAGCUUUUUAAUUUUCCCAUGCAACUUAUUUGACUAAAUUUUUACAAAGUUCUUUUAUUUGACAAGUGAACCUUUAAAUUUCACAUCUAACGUCUUUAAAAACUUUUUUUGAUUGAGAUGCAAAAUAAGAUAUAUGUGAGCACAUAAAUCUAUGUGCACCAUAUCAUAUAAUAUUAGCCACAUCACCCUGACUUUCAUUGCCAUGUUCAACUUGGACCAUUUCCUUUGCUAACUUAGACCACCUUUUCAUAAUAUAACUUCAAUUAUUUCUUUAAGGUGUUCUAUCUUCAUUACAACAAUCAUGUGGGGACAUGAAAAACCAACUAACACAAACAACAUAUAAGUACAUUUCUUAGACCAAUCACCAUUACCAUAGCAUACUUUUCAAAACUUGUCCAAGACUUCUAAAUUUGGUCAAUGCAUGGACAUGAUAAUCUUCAUGAUUUUCUAUACUAAGAGGGAAAAAAAACUUCAUCUCACCCCUAAAUUUGAGAAAAAAAAUUGUCAUGUGAAAACAAUCCUCGCAUGUUUCUUAAUUGCAUAAAGUUUGGUUUUUAUAACAUAUGAAGAAUGUUGUGUCUCAAACUUUGCAUUAUCCUGAUUAAUUAUGAUGAAUACAUGAGAGUACUCUAUUAAAAUGCUUCAUAAACUCAAACAGCUUCAAAUGAGUUUUAUAGAAAUGAUUCAAGUAUGCAUUCAUGCUUUCACACCUUUGUGUUCUUCUCAUACCUGCAAAAAAUGUCUCCUUAAAUAAGCCUUUAACCAUCUGGAAUACUUAGCAUAUAUGUUUGUCACCCACUUAUGUCUAUGAAGAUUCUACAUUUCCACUAUGUUACUCCAUGCACAUUCAAAUUCUUCAACGAUGCAUUCCAUAAACAUGCACCUAGAAAGCUUAUUAGUUAAGUCUUUGACAUAGACAUUAGUGAAUGCAUUACAUUGAAUAUUUCAAGCACAUAAUUGAUGACAAGACUCUAGAAAUAUUCUCUUAAUAGCUUAAGGCAUUCCUUUGUCCUCAUUGGUAAUAAUGAAAAAAUGCUUCUUGUUAUUCAUUACAUUUAGAUGUCUCCGAAACUCAUGUAUAAGUGUUAACACUCUCAUCUACCAAUAAUGCACAUCCAAUCACUAGAGUUUGAUGGUGAUGGUUAAUGCCAACUAGUAUAACCAACAAUUUUCUAUAAGCAUUAGUUUGAUAAGAGUUAAACCAUUUUCCAUAUUCCAUUUUCCAUACAUCUUCAAGUGUUAAACCAUUUAAAAUCUUCUAUGAAACUAGCAUGGACUCUUCGUCAAACUCAAUAUUCGCAUUGCCAUUAUAUUGGUAAUCAAAAUCUUCAUUGUUCAAAUCGAUAAUGAAUUCCUUUACUUUGCCUUUGCCCAUCAUAUCCAUGAAGGAAUUCAAAUAUAAAAGAAAGAGUAGUUAGAAUAUUACAUUAUUUAAUCAUACUAGUUAUCAAUUUGGUAUUUAAACAAUUCAAUAUUUUUAUAUCAUUUUUUUUUUAGUAUUUAAGAAUUAUAAAACAACAUUUAUUGCUUGUGAGAGAAGAAGAUACAACGAAAGUGAAGAAAGAUACAAAAAAAUAAGGGAAAUGAUGUUAAAAAUAUAAAAAAUGGUAUGAAUAAUGUGAAGAAAGAUUCAUCGUUCAUACCUUAUUUCACAUUCUUCGUACAUUUUCUCAUAUUUUUCAUACCUUGUCUCACAUUAUUUGUACAUUCUUUCGCAUUCUUCAUAUCAUGUCUCACAUUAUUUUCUCUUGAUUAAGUUUUUCCUAUUAUCUAUCUGCACUUGUCAAUAAUUAAAAAUUAUAAUUCAAGUUUAAUUAUCUUCCUUGAAUAUUUAAUUUAAACUUAAUUAUCUUUAGUUUUUUCAAAUACCAACUUAUUUUGGCCUUUUUAACCAAAUAACCCAUUUUAUUUUUACCUUACACUAUCAAAGAAACAUGUUUUUAACAAAAACGUUGAUUAAAAAAAAAGGGUAAGGAAGUACUUAGGUGUGAAACCCAAAUAUAUAUAUAUAUAUAUAUAUAUAUAUAUAUAUAUAUAUAUAUAUAUAUAUAUAUAAAACAAAACAAAACAAAACAAAACAUAAAAAAAGGGAAAAUGGAAGAAAGAAACAAAUAAAUAAAUAUCUAAUUAUUAUGAUUAUAAAUCAUUAAUAAUUGAAGAAAAAUAAUUGGUAACUCCAUGAUGUUUGUUUUUUAUUUAUUUAAUUCUAAAUAUAACUUAAAAUUGAAUAUUAUUUAAUAGUGUUAAAUAUUAAAUUUUUAUUUUUAUAAUAUUUUAUUUUAAUUAAUUAUUAAAAAGUACAUAAAAUCAACAUGUUACUUUUUUCAUUUAAAAAAAAAAGAGAAUUGUGUUUUGGGCCUAAAAAUUAACAUUUAGUCUAUAGAUGUUACAAAAUUAAUAGAAAGGCUAUGAGAUAUUAACUGACCAAUAUACCCUUCAAUAUUUCCAAGUCAGAUGGUUGUAAAUUAAAAUGGGUUUCACAGGUGUUAAACUUGAAAUGCCAUGUCACCUGACUAAAAAAUCUGAAAUAAAGGGCAAAAAGGGUCAUCACCCUCCUAACUCUUUCUCUCCUUUCGUAAACACCAUGCUCAAAGAUGAUGCCAAUUGUGAAUGUCCCCCAAUCGGUUUCUUUAGUAGUCGAGGAUUGUGAGUAACUCAGAAAAGCCUUUGCAUGUAUUUGAUCAUCAUCAUUCCCAAAUCGAAAUGACGGUGGGUGUGGAUUAUUUUUUCUCACAUUUUGAUUUGAUCAUGUGGGUUCAUUUGAUGAUGUGGUGGAUGUUUGUUUACUGGAUCAGUACAAGAUUUGAGGAAAGACAUUUGUUUUGAUGGGGUGUUCUUAAAAAAUUUUGAACUUAAUAAUAGAGUGUUUUUGGGUGCAGGGUGGGGUAUAAAUGAGACUUUGAUCAUAUCCAUCUUGGCUUAUCGGAAUGAAGCACAACCUAAGUAAAUUGAAGAAACUUAUAGUUAAUCUUUUGGAAAAAAAUCUCCUAAAAAAUGGCAUUUCACCUGUUUGAAAAUUCUUCACUUUAUAAUUUGGUUGUUGGGUUUAUAGUCUAGAGAAUAAAUGGGUAUGGUGCAGACGGUGAGUUGUGGGGAUUAGUUAGUGCAUUUAUGAUGAAUAGGAAACUAAAUUGAGUUUCAUUUUCCCCCUUUUCACUAAGCCAUGACAUUGGGAAGUGGUUAACCCGCCCAUAUGCACUCAUUAAGUUGUAGCUAGGUCGAAUUCCUACAACUGUACAAGGCAUUUACACCAAGUGUACAAGGCCAAUGUACCAAAUGUACAAGGGAGUAUAUCUUAAGGGUUUUCAAGUGAUUUUGAAGAACUUACUCAUUUACUUUUUCUGAUCAUGGGGGACAUUCCUCACAUAUAUUGCUUGACAACACACUCAUUGCAUGCAUUUUAUUUGAUGUCUACCAUGUUAAUUCAUUCUAUUAGCUCUCCUACUAAUGAUGUAUGUGAACCGAAACGAGGGUUAACUUUUUCCUCAUUUUCCCUUAUCCAUGAGAAUAGAACCAUUGUUUACCCACCCAUAUGCACUUGUUAGGUUGUCCCUAUGUUGGAUUUCGUUACUGUACAAAGCAUUUAUAGUAAGUGUAUAAUGCAAAUGUGCUAACUGUACAAGUGUGUACAAGGCUACCUAUCUUGAAGGAUUUCAAUUUUUUUUUUCAAAAAAUUGCUUGCUCAUUUUUUUUUCAUAGGAGGACAUUCCUCAUGGUCAUUCCUCAUUUCCCUUCGUACACAUUCAUUGGAAUGUGCUAGCACACUUAUGAUGAAUAGGAACUUAAAUUGGGUUUCAUUUUUCCCCUUUUCACUCAGUCAUUUCAUUGGAAUGUGGUUAACCCGCCCAUAUACACUCAUUCAGUUGUAUCUAUGUCAGAUUUCUCCAACUGUACAAGGUAUUUACACCAAGUGUACAAGGUCAAUGUACUAAAUGUACAAGGGUGUGUAUCUUAAGGUAUUUCAAGUGAUUUUAAAGAACUUAGUCAUUUACUUUUUCCAAUUGUGGGGGACAUUCCUCACACAUAUUGCUUGACAACAUACCAUUGCGGCAUCACCUAAUGGUAGAUGUAGCUUAUGUUCCUAAAAGUUAAAAGAGACAUCAUUUAUUGGAUCAUAAUUAGUAGAGCAACCUUACAAAAAUAUCUGUAUGACUGGAUCUUUUUGUCAUACAAUCUUUGGUGAUUUUGAGAUCUGUUAAGAGUGUGCAUACAGAUGGUUUAAAAUUUCCUUUUUUUUUUUUUAUAGGAGCAAAUAGUUUAAAACUCAUCCAACCAUAUUAGUUUUGGUGACAUGUGAUCAUUUGGGACGUACUGGUUAGUGUGUCUGAGUUAUUAGAAAGUUAUGUCAUAUGCUUAUUGGCAAUUCAAUAAUGGAGCAAUGAUGUCAUGUUUUACCAUGCCUCAUUGAGCGUUGAAUUUUACAUAGCCUCCAAAAUUAAGUUCUUGUAGUUGUAAAGUUUCCAAUAGUUUCUACAUAACCAUGCAUGCCUUCAUGAAGUUCCUAGAGUUUACACCUGCAAAGGCAAUGGUUUGUGUGUAACUUAGUGUGCUGUUGUUCAACUUGUGCCUAGAAUCAUAGAUUUUAAAAUAAGUUGUUUGUAGGUUUAGCAUAUCACCUUGAUGCUUUGGUUGGUUAUUUCUAGAUUGAUGGUUAGACCAAGCUUGGUUUACAAGCUAGACCAUAUUGUAGCAUCGCACCAUGCCCAAAUUGUCUUAAUUGAGCUUAUUUAAGGGUGGUAUAAAGUACUGAAAACUUCCAAAACAUUGUAAUGUACCUUUGAUUAAUUAAAACUAUAUUCUUUCAAACCUCCCUUCUUCCUAUGUUCAUCCUCCUUAGCUUCCAUGUUACGUAAUGUUGCCUAGCAUGACAAACUAAUUUUGAGUGAUUUGGUAACUUCAAAAUGCCUUGAUUUAUCUAAGUGCUAUAUGUGUGCUUAAAAAAGGCCAAGAAAACACCCAAGUUGUGACAGUAGGCCAUAUUAAUUUAUUAUGACUAAGUUAUUCCUACAGUUUCAAGGCACCUUGGAGGAUGUGAGACUGACAUUACCUUCUUUGUUUUGUUCCCUUUCAGAUUGAAAUUUUGCUUGGAAAGACGGAGAACUUUGAUGAGUUGAUGGCUACUGCAGCAGAGGAAAGGGAAAUUGGAGACUACAAGGAACAAAACUAAAUUAAGAUGUUCUGAUCAUACUUGUUUUAAGAGUUUUUAAUUAAAGAUUAAAAAAACAGUAUCAAUUGAUAUAAAAAAUUCAGAAUGUUUUUUUCAUUAUUACCAUAGCUUCAGUCUUCACAUUUGCAUUAUUAAUAAAGCUUCAGUCCCACAUAAUGGACAUGUUGAUCGAUUACUUGCUGUAUUUAGAAUCUUGAAAAUUUAUCUGAAUGCAUUCUAUAACCAUACUAUAACUGGAUAUAAUUGGAAGGACCCCUUCCAUAUACGAUUGUAUAAUUGAAGUAACUC
rnacentral:lncRNA from 1 species